UACCUGGUUGAUCCUGCCAGUAGUUAUAUGCUUGUCUCAAAGAUUAAGCCAUGCAUGUCUCAGUACUAGCCGCUCUCAGGCGAAACCGCGAAUGGCUCAUUAAAUCAGUCCUAAUCUAUUGGAUCGUGAUAAACCCUCUACUUGGAUAACUGUGGUAAUUCUAGAGCUAAUACAUGCAACCGAGCCCCGGCGCCGCUCGACCUCGGUCGAUUAGCGGAGGAAGGGCGCAUUUAUUAGAUCAAAACCGAACUUCGUUUCGAUUUGAUGACUCUGGAUAACUCUGCAGAGCGCUAAGGUCUUCGAACCGGCGCCGUAUCCUUCGAGUGCCUGCCUUAUCAGCUCUCGAUUGUAGGUUAUUAGCCUACAAUGGCUUUUACGGGUAACGGGGAAUCAGGGUUCGAUUCCGGAGAGGGAGCCUGAGAGACGGCUACCACAUCUAAGGAAGGCAGCAGGCACGCAAAUUACCCAUUCCCGGCUCGGGGAGGUAGUGACGAAAAAUAACGAUGUGGGACUCUUCCGAGGCCUCGCAAUCGGAAUGAGUUUACUUUAAGACCUUGAACGAGGAUCGAUUGGAGGGCAAGUCUGGUGCCAGCAGCCGCGGUAAUUCCAGCUCCAAUAGCGUAUAUUAAAGUUGUUGCGGUUAAAAAGCUCGUAGUUGGAUUUUGGAUUCGGAACGACGGUCCACUCUCAGAAGUCGUCCGUGUCUCGUUUCCGUCUCCUUCGAUCCGACUCUUAGUAAAGUGUCGACGGCGUAACGGGGCGGAUUUAUGCUCGUCCGGGGUCUAAAAGGAGCUGGCUACUUUUAGAACUUUCGGCUCCCGUUGAACGAAGGGGAAGGCGCGUUUCGGCGUUCGAUGACGUCCCGCGCAUCGACGGCGUUCAAAUUACGCAAAGGGUGUUUUGGAACACGUACGGCGGGGGGAGGUGUCGGCGGGUUUUUUGAGGUUAACGAUGUCUCGUUCGGAAGCGGUUAGCGUUCGGUCGGUUUCGGAAUCGCGAGGCGCGAGGGGGGUCGCGGCGGCGGCGGCACUCGGCGGUGCGUAUUCGUACGCAACAAAAACCGUCGUUUAAGCUCGUCGCAGUCGUCCCUUUCGCCUUCGGUUUCGGCCCUUCCUAAUAUAGCUCUCCGUCAUCCGCGAGUCCUCUCGUCCUUUUUUAAACCCCGUUCCUCGCUUAACUCCCGUCGUUACUUACUCCUAACCCCUAUCGUAAAGUCGUUCGGUGUUCGCGGGCGUAGUAGCUCUUCGCGUUUUUCCCCUUCCGUUUUUUUUUCGGGUUUUCGGAAACUAAAGGGCUAUGACGCCUCUCCCCCCCGGUCGACGCCGCCUUUCACGGAGCGCCUCGUACCACCGAAAAGAGCCGUUGGCGNGAGUCGGGCGAGUAAUCGGCGGCGUCUCUGACGGGUGGUGGAAACCCGCUCGUCUCCGGGUUAUUUUAAAAACCGUCGGUCUUCGCGGGAUUCUCUUGACCGAGUGUCCCCGCGGGAGGCCGACACUUUCACUUUGAAAAAAUUAGAGUGCUCAGAGCAGGCAAUGAUUUCACGCCGCAUGGCGGCGCAUGGAAUGAAGGAACAGGACCUCGGGUCGAGGCUUUUUUCGGUUUUCACGAGCCCGAGGUAAUGAUUAACGGAAACGGACGGGGGCAUUAGUAUUGCGGCGCGAGAGGUGAAAUUCUGUGACCGUCGCAAGACUACCUACUGCGAAAGCAUCUGCCAAGUACGUUUCUAUUAAUCAAGAACGAAAGUUAGAGGAUCGAAGGCGAUCAGAUACCGCCCUAGUUCUAACCAUAAACGAUGCGAACUGGCGAUCCGUUCAAGUCAUUACCGAAAGACUGAACGGGAAGCCCCCGGGAAACCAAAGUUUAUAUGUUCCGGGGGAAGUAUGGUUGCAAAGCUGAAACUUAAAGGAAUUGACGGAAGGGCACCACCAGGAGUGGAGCCUGCGGCUUAAUUUGACUCAACACGGGAAACCUUACCAGGCCCGGACACCGGGAGGAUUGACAGAUUGAGAGCUCUUUCUCGAUUCGGUGGUUGGUGGUGCAUGGCCGUUCUUAGUUGGUGGAGCGGUUUGUCAGGUUGAUUCCGAUAACGAACGAGAUUCUGGCCUACUAACUAGUUGGCGGAUCGACUCCCGAAACGGAGCGGGCGGUUUCAUAUUGCCGCGGAGGGGCUUGUGUCUUUCCGUUUCGACGCUCCCCGGGCAACGGGGCUUUCGGUGGUUGACGUCGUAGUCGUUCGAAGGAAGGGGCGGUUCGUUCGUCGUCGGUCGUUGAGGCGGAGGCGGUGCGGAGUUGUUCGUUGGUUUUUCGAAGCUUUCGUUCCUCCCCCUCUUCGUCUUCUUCCCGGCUUCGGGCGCUUCCUGCCCCCGAAUUCGGCGGCGGCGGUAUCUCCCCCGGGGGUUUCCUAUCCCGGGCACGAGUCGGGCGGAGAGCUUCUCUCCUGCGGCGUGGGACUCGUCCCGCCCGCUAAGGGGCGUCCGUCGUAUAAAGUCUUCUUAGAGGGAUCGGCGGCGUCUAGCCGCACGAGACGGAGCAAUAACAGGUCUGUGAUGCCCUUAGAUGUUCUGGGCCGCACGCGCGCUACAAUGAAGGGCGCAGCGUGCUUUCCCCUCUCCGAGAGGAGCGGGUAACCCGAUGAAACCCCUUCCCGAUUGGGAUUGGGGCUUGUAAGUGUUUCCCAUAAACGAGGAAUUCCUAGUAAGCGCGAGUCAUUAAGCUCGCGUUGAUUACGUCCCUGCCCUUUGUACACACCGCCCGUCGCUACUACCGAUUGGGUGAUCCAGUGAGGGCAUCGGACUGGCGCCCUCGGUCGCUUCGGGUCAAAACGCUCUUCUUCUUCUUCUUCUCGAAAGGAUUCGUUCCGCGAGUCGAAAGGGUCGUAGCAGCGUCCGGAGGGAGAACCAUUGGGUCGACGGAAAGAUGUCCGAACUUGGUUACUUAGAGGAAGUAAAAGUCGUAACAAGGUUUCCGUAGGUGAACCUGCGGAAGGAUCAUUA
rnacentral:rRNA from 1 species